UGGGGAAUUUUGCACAAUGGGGGAAACCCUGAUGCAGCGACGCCGCGUGAUUUAGAAGGCCUUCGGGUUGUAAAAAUCUUUUCUAUGGGAAGAAAAUGACAGUACCAUAGGAAUAAGGACCGGCUAAUUACGUGCCAGCAGCCGCGGUAAUACGUAAGGUCCGAGCGUUGUCCGGAAUCAUUGGGCGUAAAGGGUACGUAGGCGGGUAAGCAAGUUAGAAGUGAAAUCCUAUAGCUCAACUAUAGUAAGCUUUUAAAACUGCUCAUCUUGAGGUAUGGAAGGGAAAGUGGAAUUCCUAGUGUAGCGGUGAAAUGCGCAGAUAUUAGGAGGAAUACCGGUAGCGAAGGCGACUUUCUGGCCAUAACCUGACGCUGAGGUACGAAAGCGUGGGUAGCAAACAGG
rnacentral:rRNA from 1 species